GGUUAAGCGACUAAGCGUACACGGUGGAUGCCCCGGCAGUCAGAGGCGAUGAAGGACGUGCUAAUCUGCGAUAAGCGUCGGUAAGGUGAUAUGAACCGUUAUAACCGGCGAUUUCCGAAUGGGGAAACCCAGUGUGAUUCGUCACACUAUCAUUAACUGAAUCCAUAGGUUAAUGAGGCGAACCGGGGGAACUGAAACAUCUAAGUACCCCGAGGAAAAGAAAUCAACCGAGAUUCCCCCAGUAGCGGCGAGCGAACGGGGAGGAGCCCAGAGCCUGAAUCAGUGUGUGUGUUAGUGGAAGCGUCUGGAAAGGCGCGCGAUACAGGGUGACAGCCCCGUACACAAAAAUGCACAUGCUGUGAGCUCGAUGAGUAGGGCGGGACACGUGGUAUCCUGUCUGAAUAUGGGGGGACCAUCCUCCAAGGCUAAAUACUCCUGACUGACCGAUAGUGAACCAGUACCGUGAGGGAAAGGCGAAAAGAACCCCGGCGAGGGGAGUGAAAAAGAACCUGAAACCGUGUACGUACAAGCAGUGGGAGCCUCUUUAUGGGGUGACUGCGUACCUUUUGUAUAAUGGGUCAGCGACUUAUAUUCUGUAGCAAGGUUAACCGAAUAGGGGAGCCGAAGGGAAACCGAGUCUUAACUGGGCGUUAAGUUGCAGGGUAUAGACCCGAAACCCGGUGAUCUAGCCAUGGGCAGGUUGAAGGUUGGGUAACACUAACUGGAGGACCGAACCGACUAAUGUUGAAAAAUUAGCGGAUGACUUGUGGCUGGGGGUGAAAGGCCAAUCAAACCGGGAGAUAGCUGGUUCUCCCCGAAAGCUAUUUAGGUAGCGCCUCGUGAAUUCAUCUCCGGGGGUAGAGCACUGUUUCGGCAAGGGGGUCAUCCCGACUUACCAACCCGAUGCAAACUGCGAAUACCGGAGAAUGUUAUCACGGGAGACACACGGCGGGUGCUAACGUCCGUCGUGAAGAGGGAAACAACCCAGACCGCCAGCUAAGGUCCCAAAGUCAUGGUUAAGUGGGAAACGAUGUGGGAAGGCCCAGACAGCCAGGAUGUUGGCUUAGAAGCAGCCAUCAUUUAAAGAAAGCGUAAUAGCUCACUGGUCGAGUCGGCCUGCGCGGAAGAUGUAACGGGGCUAAACCAUGCACCGAAGCUGCGGCAGCGACACUAUGUGUUGUUGGGUAGGGGAGCGUUCUGUAAGCCUGCGAAGGUGUACUGUGAGGUAUGCUGGAGGUAUCAGAAGUGCGAAUGCUGACAUAAGUAACGAUAAAGCGGGUGAAAAGCCCGCUCGCCGGAAGACCAAGGGUUCCUGUCCAACGUUAAUCGGGGCAGGGUGAGUCGACCCCUAAGGCGAGGCCGAAAGGCGUAGUCGAUGGGAAACAGGUUAAUAUUCCUGUACUUGGUGUUACUGCGAAGGGGGGACGGAGAAGGCUAUGUUGGCCGGGCGACGGUUGUCCCGGUUUAAGCGUGUAGGCUGGUUUUCCAGGCAAAUCCGGAAAAUCAAGGCUGAGGCGUGAUGACGAGGCACUACGGUGCUGAAGCAACAAAUGCCCUGCUUCCAGGAAAAGCCUCUAAGCAUCAGGUAACAUCAAAUCGUACCCCAAACCGACACAGGUGGUCAGGUAGAGAAUACCAAGGCGCUUGAGAGAACUCGGGUGAAGGAACUAGGCAAAAUGGUGCCGUAACUUCGGGAGAAGGCACGCUGAUAUGUAGGUGAAGUCCCUCGCGGAUGGAGCUGAAAUCAGUCGAAGAUACCAGCUGGCUGCAACUGUUUAUUAAAAACACAGCACUGUGCAAACACGAAAGUGGACGUAUACGGUGUGACGCCUGCCCGGUGCCGGAAGGUUAAUUGAUGGGGUUAGCGGUAACGCGAAGCUCUUGAUCGAAGCCCCGGUAAACGGCGGCCGUAACUAUAACGGUCCUAAGGUAGCGAAAUUCCUUGUCGGGUAAGUUCCGACCUGCACGAAUGGCGUAAUGAUGGCCAGGCUGUCUCCACCCGAGACUCAGUGAAAUUGAACUCGCUGUGAAGAUGCAGUGUACCCGCGGCAAGACGGAAAGACCCCGUGAACCUUUACUAUAGCUUGACACUGAACAUUGAGCCUUGAUGUGUAGGAUAGGUGGGAGGCUUUGAAGUGUGGACGCCAGUCUGCAUGGAGCCGACCUUGAAAUACCACCCUUUAAUGUUUGAUGUUCUAACGUUGGCCCCUGAUCGGGGUUGCGGACAGUGUCUGGUGGGUAGUUUGACUGGGGCGGUCUCCUCCUAAAGAGUAACGGAGGAGCACGAAGGUUGGCUAAUCCUGGUCGGACAUCAGGAGGUUAGUGCAAUGGCAUAAGCCAGCUUGACUGCGAGCGUGACGGCGCGAGCAGGUGCGAAAGCAGGUCAUAGUGAUCCGGUGGUUCUGAAUGGAAGGGCCAUCGCUCAACGGAUAAAAGGUACUCCGGGGAUAACAGGCUGAUACCGCCCAAGAGUUCAUAUCGACGGCGGUGUUUGGCACCUCGAUGUCGGCUCAUCACAUCCUGGGGCUGAAGUAGGUCCCAAGGGUAUGGCUGUUCGCCAUUUAAAGUGGUACGCGAGCUGGGUUUAGAACGUCGUGAGACAGUUCGGUCCCUAUCUGCCGUGGGCGCUGGAGAACUGAGGGGGGCUGCUCCUAGUACGAGAGGACCGGAGUGGACGCAUCACUGGUGUUCGGGUUGUCAUGCCAAUGGCACUGCCCGGUAGCUAAAUGCGGAAGAGAUAAGUGCUGAAAGCAUCUAAGCACGAAACUUGCCCCGAGAUGAGUUCUCCCUGACUCCUUGAGAGUCCUGAAGGAACGUUGAAGACGACGACGUUGAUAGGCCGGGUGUGUAAGCGCAGCGAUGCGUUGAGCUAACCGGUACUAAUGAACCGUGAGGCUUAACCUU
rnacentral:rRNA from 1 species